AUGAUAGCAGCAGGAAAUUCUUUGUCCUUGAAUCAAGGUAUUCAGGAAGAACAGGUUGUUCCGGCUAGAUACUGUCAAGAAUUCUUGACUAUUGCAUGGGAACAGAUUCAUGUUAGAAGUAUUUUUCCUUUCCAAUAUUUUUCUAUUGGGGGUUCUCUCAUUCCUUUUAUUGAGCACAAUGAUGCGAAUCGGGCUUUAAUGAGUUCUAAUAUGCAGCGCCAAGCAGUUCCACUUUCUCGGUCUGAGAAAUGCAUUGUUGGAACUGGAUUGGAACGCCAAACAACUCUAGAUUCGAGGGUUUCCAUUAUAGUCGAACGCGAGGGAAAGAUCAUUUCUACUGAUAGUCAUAAGAUACUUUUAUCAAGUAGUGGGAAGACUAUAAGUAUUCCUUUAGUUAACCACCGUCGCUCUAACAAAAAUACUUGUAUGCACCAAAAACCCCGGGUUCCGCGGGGUAAAUCCAUUAAAAAAGGACAAAUUUUAGCAGAAGGAGCUGCUACAGUUGGGGGCGAACUUGCUUUAGGAAAAAACGUAUUAGUAGCUUAUAUGCCAUGGGAAGGUUACAAUUUUGAAGACGCAGUACUAAUUAGCGAACGUUUGGUAUAUGAAGAUAUUUAUACCUCUUUUCACAUGCGGAAAUAUGAUAUUUAG
rnacentral:rRNA from 1 species